CGUUUUCACGAUAAAAAUCAU
rnacentral:snRNA from 1 species